rnacentral:rRNA from 14 species
CCCCGAAAUGCAUUUAGGUGCAGCCUGUGGAGUUUCUUACGUGAGGUAGAGCGACUGAUUGGAUGCGAGGCUUUCACCGGCUAUCAAGUCCAGACAAACUCCGAAUGCACGUUAAGUAAGAUCCACGGAGUGAGGGCAUGGGUGCUAAGGUCCAUGUCCGAGAGGAGAAGAAUCCAGACCAUCGGCUAAGGUCCCGAAAUAAUAGCUAAGUUGACCAAACGAAGUCAGA